rnacentral:hammerhead_ribozyme from 1 species
AUCCAGUUGACGAGCUCCAAAUAGGACGAAACGCGCGUCCUGGAC